rnacentral:rRNA from 1 species
GUAGGUGGCAAGCGUUGUCCGGAAUUAUUGGGCGUAAAGCGCGCGCAGGCGGUUCUUUAAGUCUCGAUGUGAAAGCCCACGCCCAACCGUGGAGGGUCAUUGGAAACUGGAGAACUUGAGUACAGAAGAGGAAAGCGGAAUUCCACGUGUAGCGGUGAAAUGCGUAGAGAUGUGGAGGAACACCAGUGGCGAAGGCGGCUUUCUGGUCUGUAACUGACGCUGAGGCGCGAAAGCGUGGGGAGCAAACAGGGACUAGAUACCCUGGUAGUCCACGCCGUAAACGAUGAGUGCUAAGUGUUAGGGGGUUUCCCGCCCCUUAGUGCUGCAGCUAACGCAUUAAGCACUCCGCCUGGGGAGUACGCCGCAAGGCUG